CUGCGGGAGGAUCAUUA
rnacentral:rRNA from 1 species